rnacentral:rRNA from 1 species
UGGGGAAUAUUGGACAAUGGGCGAAAGCCUGAUCCAGCCAUGCCGCGUGUGUGAAGAAGGUCUUCGGAUUGUAAAGCACUUUAAGUUGGGAGGAAGGGCAGUAAGCGAAUACCUUGCUGUUUUGACGUUACCGACAGAAUAAGCACCGGCUAACUCUGUGCCAGCAGCCGCGGUAAUACAGAGGGUGCAAGCGUUAAUCGGAAUUACUGGGCGUAAAGCGCGCGUAGGUGGUUCGUUAAGUUGAAUGUGAAAGCCCCGGGCUCAACCUGGGAACUGCAUCCAAAACUGGCGAGCUAGAGUAGGGCAGAGGGUGGUGGAAUUUCCUGUGUAGCGGUGAAAUGCGUAGAUAUAGGAAGGAACACCAGUGGCGAAGGCGACCACCUGGGCUCAUACUGACACUGAGGUACGAAAGCAUGGAGAGCAAACAGG